CAUUAUCGUACAACCGAGGUGCAAGGGCUGUCGCUGACCUCCAAAGGUUGUGCACGCCCGAGCGCUCUCACACAAUCCAUCUCACACCCCUUUGUGCAUCACCGCGAGGGUCCCAGUGGCUGUAACGGCCCCAAGGUGGGAAUGCGAGGCGAUGUUUUCCCCAACGGAGUCCCGUGCUCGUGCGCCGAGUUCAAGACUGUCCCCUCCAGAAAACUUUGGUGUCCAUCGUCCCUCACAGCGUAGGCUGUGGUCGGAUUUGGAGUAAUCGGCCCUUGUCUAGCCAGGGAAGCAAUUCCGCAGCUAGCAGGACUCACCGAGUUGGUCUUAGGAGAUCAGGGCACGUCAUCUGUCGCGCGGGUGCGCCGUGUCCCUCGUAGACCUUUAUACCUCGCGUUUUCACACAAACCUCUGAUACAGUGUAGAAUGUUAUUUUACCUUUUGCGGUCACACGCAAUCAAUACAACUUUCAACAACGGAUCUCUUGGCUCUCGCAUCGAUGAAGAACGCAGCGAAAUGCGAUACGUAAUGUGAAUUGCAGAAUUCAGUGAAUCAUCGAAUCUUUGAACGCACCUUGCGCCCCUUGGUUUUUUUGAAAGCGCGAGCUCCUCUCAAAUGAAUCAGUGGGGUCCGCUUUGCCGAUCCUUGACGUGAUAAGAUGCUUCUACGUUUUGGAUUUGGCACUGUCCCUUGGAUGCCUGCUUCUAACCGUCCCAUGGACAAUGAUGGUGCUCCGGUCAACCGCCGUCUACGUUGGCGGGGGGAGGCUGGACCCACAAGAAG
rnacentral:misc_RNA from 1 species